AGAACGAACGCUGGCGGCGUGGAUAAGACAUGCAAGUCGAACGGGAUUACUUCUAGUAGCAAUACCUGAAGUAAUUUAGUGGCGAACGGGUGCGUAACACGUGGGGAAUCUGCCGAGAAGUGGGGGGUAGCUCGUCGAAAGGCGAAUUAAUACCGCAUAUGAUCAGCCAAGACAUCUUGGCGACAUCAAAGCCGGGGCAACCUGGCGCUUCUUGAUGACCCCGCGGCCUAUCAGCUAGUUGGUGAGGUAACGGCCCACCAAGGCUAUGACGGGUAGCUGGUCUGAGAGGACGACCAGUCACACUGGAACUGAGACACGGUCCAGACACCUACGGGUGGCAGCAGUCGAGAAUUUUUUCCAAUGGGGGCAACCCUGAAGGAGCGACGCCGCGUGGAGGAUGAAGGCUUUCGGGUUGUAAACUGUCUUUUCUUUGGGAAGAGAACGGACGGUACCAGAGGAAUCGAGCCCCGGCUCACUACGUGCCAGCAGGCCGC
rnacentral:rRNA from 1 species